rnacentral:ncRNA from 1 species
UGAGGGGAAGGCGCCCCUAGUACGAGAGGAACGGGGUAUCGUAGCCUCUAGUUUACCGGUUGUCCGACAGGGCACUGCCGGGCCGCCACGCUAUCGAGGAUAAGGGCUGAAAGCAUCUAAGCCUGAAACCUCUCCCGAAAAUAGGCAACCAUUCCGGUCCACUUGGCACGCUGGCGACAGCGUGUUCGGACUGGACGAGGGCUCCCACAGAAGAUGGGGUUGAUGGAAUCGGGGUGUACGCGUCGAGACUUCGGUCGAGACGUUCAGCCCGCGAUCCCCAAUCGCCCAAGGUGCUGGUCCC